rnacentral:misc_RNA from 1 species
GAUGAAGAACGCAGCGAAAUGCGAUAAUUAAUGUGAAUUGCAGAAUUCAGUGAAUCAUCGAGUCUUUGAACGCACAUUGCGCCCCCUGGUAUUCCGGGGGGCAUGCCUGUCCGAGCGUCAUUGCUGCCCUCAAGCACGGCUUGUGUGUUGGGCUUCCGUCCCUGGCAACGGGGACGGGCCCAAAAGGCAGUGGCGGCACCAUGUCUGGUCCUCGAGCGUAUGGGGCUUUGUCACCCGCUCCCGUAGGUCCAGCUGGCAGCUAGCCUCGCAACCAAUCUUUUUAACCAGGUUGACCUCGGAUCAGGUAGGGAUACCCGCUGAUCUUAAGCAUAUCAAUAAGCGGAGGA